rnacentral:rRNA from 1 species
UACGUAGGGUGCGAGCGUUGCCCGGAUUUAUUGGGCGUAAAGGGCGCGUAGGCGGCCACGCACGUCCGUUGUGAAAUCGCCCGGCUCAACUGGGCGGGGUCGGCGGAUACGGCGUGGCUGGAGCAAGCUAGGGGGCAAUGGAAUUCCUGGUGUAGUGGUGGAAUGCGUAGAUAUCGGGAGGAACACCAGUGGCGAAGGCGGUUGCCUGGAGCUUUGCUGACGCUGAGGCGCGAAAGCGUGGGGAGCGAUCCGG